GAUGAUAUUGAGAUCCUAGCGGGCCUGGUGCAGGGUACUAUGUACACAUUGUCAUUUCAAAGCCAAUGUCAAAGUGACACUCCAGAAUCAUUUUUCAAAACUAAGAGAUAUGGGAGAAUUUAACACACAAAGACACUGAAUCCUUAGAAAAAAACACAAGCUGUCGAUGAAUGAAGGCCAGAGAGUGAAGGACACACUUUCCCAGGUUAGUAUAGAGCAAGCAGGGGGAAUCCAUGGGCCGGGUACAUGUGCCUGUCCCCUUCCUAGAGCAGCAGAGGAGGGAAUGGGAGGGAUGCUAGGUGACCUCGCGGGAUCAUUGCACACACUCACUCCCAGAGCAACCGCCGACUCUUCUACGCAAAGUGAUGAUCAAGAGAAAUAGUAAAAUGCUGAGUCCGAGGAAGCUGAGCAGGGGCCCACUGUUGUGAAAUGGUUGACCCAGGGCAGCACACACCCAGAGGGCCCUGCCGCCUGGCCUCCCUCUGCAGGGUCAUCUCAGAAUGGAGUGCCCACUGGGGCUGCACUAGGGUGUCCUCGGGAGGGGAAGCAGGCUGUGGUAUAGGACAGCAACGGGAACGUGACUGAGGACUCAUCAUCCGAGACUCACACCUGCGCAGACCUGGGGGAGGGGUCCGGCACUUCAGGUGGCCUCCUGACACAGGCAACAGGCACGCUUCAGAUGAGCGGAGGCCACUCUGCCGUGAGGACUGGAGUGCAGCACAGGCUGGCCCCAGGUGCGCCAUGUCCACUGGGUCAGUUGACCACCCUAGAGCUUUGAGGAGGAGCAGGGCCCCGGCUGGACUCCACUGUGGCCAGACAGGCCAGGCUCGGUGCCAUUGGAGACCUCCUGCACCUCCAGCUGUGACGUGGGAGAUGGAGUCCCCGGGCCCAGGCAGGCCUGCUGUUGGCUGCAGGGAGUGUGCCAGCCAGGGAGGCUUCAGAGCAACAGAUUUUACUGAAGGCCAUGUGUCCAUGGUGUGCCGGGCCCUGAGAACAGGAGGCCACGAGGCACAACCUCACCCUUGGGAGCUGAACACACAGCCCCAGACCCUGACACCACCAGGGAGGUCACCCAAGGGGCAGAAGGCACAGAAGCAGAGAAGAGCCAGGGAAGGGGGAGGGGAGACGGGCCUUUCCCCUGAGGACCUGCCUCCGGAGCCUGGGCCUGGGGCUGCACUUGCCCUGUCCGCUCUCAGGUCUACCCGGUGUGGCCCUGGCGCCGAGCACUGGGGAGCGUGGCUGUGGGCCUGAGCCUCUGGCUCUUGCCUGGAGCCUGGUGGACGUGUGGUGCUCUGGGCAAGUCCCUGAUCGCUCCUGGACCCUGGUUCCCUCAUACGUAGAGUGAGGGGGCUAGCAGAGAGACUUGUAUGGCCCCUUGGGGGAACAUUAUCCUUAGGACUCAAGACCUCCUGAAGAUUCGUCCACAGUUUUCUAAGACCGCGUGGGCUCAACUCCACACUACCAGGCAGACUCACCCUGGCACAGAUGCCAGUGGCGAACUGGGCUGGAAUUCACCCACACAGCGUGUCAGACACAACCCCCAGUUCCUGCUGCACUGUGGAUCUGGGGCCACACAGGGCAGAACUGGGGGGCUCCUGCCUCCCAUAAGAAAAAGGGGGUGUUUAGUGGAAAUUCCAACUGCCCUCCACUCUGCCUUUAGCAUCUCGUCCCAAGGGCAUCAGUACAGACGAGCAUCCCUGUUAGUUAUUCCCCAGGGUCGCUACAAGGUGGCGUGACUGCCGGUCCCUCUGCUGUGCUGAGCAGGCCAGCACAGAAACACUGAACAAGCCAUGAGCCUGAAAAGUGAUGGAGAUUGGAGUUAAGAAGAGACACGUCCCCUUCACAUGGUCCCUGAGCUGACAUGGACCAGGGAUCCAGAACUAGACAUGCCCUUCCUGCCUGUUGGGACGGGCACCCCAGUCCUCCUCAGAGGAACACACACACACACACACACACACACACACACACACACACUCGACCACCUGCAGUCAGUCCCCUGCUAGGAGGCCUUUCUCCUUUGACACCUGCCCUGGCCAAAGAGCACCCGGAACACAGUGGCAAGGGUUCAGGGCACUGCAGAGGCCCCCCUGGGAGGUGGAGGGGACAGUGGCCUGGGUGCCCUCCUGAUCCUCCACUCAGUGCUGAUCGAGGGCUUCCUGAGUGUCCUCACCCCUCCCAGUCACCCCCUGUGUGUUGAUGAACUCAUCACUGUGAGCCCUGAGAAGCAGAGGUGAUUGGUCCUCAGUCCUUGCCCUUAGGGUCCCAGACUAUAAGGAGAGAAGAAAGGGAAGCUUCACAGUAUGUGUAAGUGCUGCCCUCCAUCCCCCCGCCCCCAGGCCAGGAAACAACACAGGAGCACCGCAACAGGCCGCCAGUCUACUGCGGAGGUCCCAGGAGCCACGCCCCAGAAGUGAGGACCACUGCCGGGAUCGAGGAGUUUGUGGGUGACUGGGCCCUGGGGGGAUAAGGUCUCAUGGCUUGUUUCCAGGGUCUGUCUGCUCAAAGGGGAAUCCAUCUCACCCCUGGGGUCCCACUGUGGCCUUCGCAUGGCCAGCCCCAGGUGAUGGUUUUCAGACGACUGUGUCUUUAACUGGGUCCAGCACCAGGUCCAGGGAACCAUCAAAUUCCACAAAAACAAACCGCAAUCAGGGGCCAGAGGACAGCAGCCUGCACCCAUGCCCCCACAGGCCAGUACCCUCGGGUCUGAGCCAGAGGAGGCCAGGGCCUCGGCCUCCUGCAGCCACGCCUGCCUGUCACCAUGGCUGCAGGUGGGUCUCCAGCUCCUUAAUCAUGCCGGCAGAAACAAAUGUGUUGCUCUGAUCUGCAGACGGUUCCCACUUUACUGACGCACAGUGAGCAUGGAUUAGUCCCAUGAACUACAAAAGGGGCCUCUCCUCUCCUGGCAGGUGUUCAGCCUCUGACUGCAGUCAGGCUCACAGCGGGGUCCUCCGCCGCCGCCAGCACCGCGGAGCCAACAGGAGGGAUGCUGGAAUCCGUGGCGGACCCAGGAUGCUCCCAAAUACGGACCCCGCCCGCAGGUGCCUCUGAAACCAGAGCUCCUCUCCUCAACACCCCAACCAGAGGUAGCAGAGCUGGAGGGUUAGCGCUCCAAGGUACGCUGUAAGAAAAGCCAGGGGUGCAACAGCGUGGAUCCUCCAAGGCCAUUUAUAUAACCCAAGGGUGUGUGUGUGUGUGUGUGUGUGUCCAAACGGGGAGUACAGGAAGGCAGUCACUGACCCGUUGGUGUCUUGGGUGUUAUGAGUUGGUGUGGCCAGGGCGCAAUUUGCUCUGUGGUCCUGACUUUUGUGGUUGAAGACUUCUGGCCUGCAGAGACCCAAGUGGCUGACUGGGUCAGUCUGGGAGAAUCCCAUGGCUGCUCUAGCCUCUGACCAAAAGGAACAGGCACAUCUUAGAAACCAGCAGGACUAUCUGCCUCCGUGUAACUGUGAGAGACCUCUUCCUCCCUCACGACUCACGUGAUAGACAGCAGGAAGGAACCAGGAACAUGGUCCUGCUGCCAUUCCUCUUAGUGGUAGAUCAGGGAUGGACGGUGUAGAGAGCAGGCUGCACCUGCCCUGGGUGACUCCAUGGUGUGUAGGACAGCAGUCCUCAGGCUGUGCCUGCCCUGGGUGACUCCAUGGUGUGUAGAACAGCAGUCCUCAGGCUGUGCCUGCCCUGGUGACUCCAUGGUGUGCAGGACAGCAGUCCUCAGGCUGUGCCUGCCCUGGUGACUCCAUGGUGUGUAGAACAGCAGUCCUCAGGCUGUGCCUGCCCUGGCGACUCCAUGGUGUGUAGAACAGCAGUCCUCAGGCUGUGCCUGCCCUGGCGACUCCAUGGUGUGUAGAACAGCAGUCCUCAGGCUGUGCCUGCCCUGGUGACUCCAUGGUGUGUAGAACAGCAGUCCUCAGGCUGUGCCUGCCCUGACAGCAGUCCUCAGGCUGUGCCUGCCCUAGUGACUCCAUGGUGUGCAGGACAGCAGUCCUCAGGCUGUGCCUUCUGUGGUGACUCCAUGGUGUGUAGGACAGCAGUCCUCAGGCUGUGCCUGCCCUGGUGACUCCAUGGUGUGUAGAACAGCAGUCCUCAGGCUGCGCCUGCCCUGGUGACUCCAUGGUGUGCAGAACAGCAGUCCUCAGGCUGCACCUGCCCUGGUGACUCCAUGGUGUGUAGGACAGCAGUCCUCAGGCUGUGCCUGCCCUGGUGACUCCAUGGUGUGUAGAACAGCAGUCCUCAGGCUGUGCCUGCCCUAGUGACUCCAUGGUGUGUAGGACAGCAGUCCUCAGGCUGUGCCUGCCCUGGUGACUCCAUGGUGUGCAGGACAGCAGUCCUCAGGCUGUGCCUGCCCUGGUGACUCCAUGGUGUGUAGGACAGCAAUCCUCAGGCUGUGCCUGCCCUGGUGACUCCAUGGUGUGUAGAACAGAGUUUUCAGGCUACAGAUAUUAGUAAUUAUGUUUGAAAUAAAAAAAUCUGUGAUUGCCCAGCUUAUGCCUACCAGGUGAGGAGUGUUUGGUGAGCUGCAGCUGCUGAAAGUGGUGUACCUGAGAAGGGAUUGCUAUCCCGUGCCCUUCUGACAUUGUGGAGAGACACACAUGCUUGGCCCUUGCUAAUGGCACGGCUCAUUCAUGAAGGGUUUGGGGGACUUCUGCACAGAGAAGGAAGGGAGAAGGAGGCAGGAAUGGGGGUCAUGUCAGAAGGUAGGCGAGCAGCCAUGGGUCCCAGCAAGCCUCAGGCCAAGUCCACAGUCCUCCUGGGACCCCUCCCUGCCCACACUCCAGAAGAGGCUUCAAGACCCCACUCUUGUCAGCACACCUCCUGAGCCAGCUGGAGUGAGCACAGGGCCCAUGCCCAGGGCCGACUGCGUGUACUGCGUCUUCAGCGACUGCUAGUGCUUCUAGCUGCACACUUGCCAUCUGAUUAGAGGCAAAGUUGAUCUAUUUUAACUUCACACUCCAAGUUAUUCGUGGAGUUUAGUCACAGCCCUAUAUAAUAGAAAACCACCACUGCCUACAGUCAUUUGAAGCCACAAAAACCCUCUCUUUGCACUUUCUAUCUGCACUGUGGCCUGCAGGCUCCUGCAGCCGUGGUCUCCUGCCCUGCAGGUCCCUCUGGUCUGGGAGGCCUGGUGCACUGGCUGUCUGUGCCGUCCCUGGAUGCCAGCCCCCUCCUCCUGUGCCCACGGGACCAGCCCUGCACACCAGGCCCUCUCCCAAGAGCCCCACCGGCUCCUGAACCAAUAAAAGAUCACAUUUUAAUUGAAAGUCACUGUGGCGGCCGUAGGCAGAGGUCUGUUUGUCCUGCGCCUGUGCUGGGGGUUAGCUUCGGCUUGUAGAAGUGCCCACCUCAACUCAGCUGGAAACAGAGUCACACGUGCACACUGCCAAAUUUUCACUUAAACAUCGGUUUUUUAAAAACCAACACUUCACUUGGUUCAAACUGUAAACCAAAGGUCACACGUGUCCAGUCUCCCUCCCACACUGACCCCAGCCAACAAUCUCCUCUGAAGCCACACGGAUCUUUCCAGAGAUGCUUUGGCAUAUACAAUAAAUACAUCACAUAAAGGAGACCAAAAAAUUGCCUGCAGCUUCACACUUGGGAUAAGAGCCAUGUGGGUGUGGUGCGAUCAAGGUUCGGCCUUUCCCAGGAUUAACUGAGUUUUCCUCCCGGCCUCCUGAGCCUUGCUGGGCCGGGCCUGUGGUGCCCACCGUGCAGUAUGCCAAUCGUGAAAGAGAAAGGGUACUUCUGAGGUGGCUGGCGGGAGAGUGGCCUCCACCUGCCUCCCUGAAGGGGGUCCAGGGGUGUUUAUGGGUGGAGGCCCGAGGAAGGGGAACUGGAGGCCAUGAGGAAUGGUGACCAAACCACCAGCCACCAGGACACGGGGCACAGGUGUCACCUAUGCUCAACUAACCUUGGUGAUGUUUCGGGUCAACCGAAGCCAGGAACUAAGAGUGGAGACGUAGCUAAGGCUGAGAGCAGCGCUCACCGGGCUUUGCAGGCUGCGGAGCACGUGCCCUGUGGAGAGGCACCUCGCCAUGAACUCUCCUGUUUUCACGGAUCACUCUGGAGAGCUGAGUGGCAGGACGGACCCCGGCCCUCCUGGGCAGUGGCCUCCUGAGCACCAGCGUGCGGCCUGCUGUGCGCUGUGCCAUCGGGUCAGCGAGAGGCUCCCAGGGAGAACGUGGGGCCUUCCUGGGAACCACAUGCUUCCUUUCCCCUCCUGUCCUCCCCCAAACUUCCCAGUUCCAAAGCGUGACACUCCACACAACCCCCGCUUAGCCCAGAUGAGGAGAGCCACUCUGAACUCGCCCAGGAGAGCGCUACAGAGAAGCGCUCACCGCAGGCGCUCAGCCAAGAAAGGAUCGUGGACCACAGGACCAGACCCCUGUCGCCCAGCCUGCGGCACCCGUGGGACAGAGCCCUCAGCUGGGUCCACAGCAAGCGCAGUGAGCACUCAAAAGCCCAGGGAGCUCUGUGACCCAGGGAGGACCCAGGCCCCAGUCACCAAGGGACGGGGGCCCCCUUCCUGUGGACCUGGGAGCAGGAAUGUAGGGGUGCAGUUGACGGACCUCACAACCACGCGGCUUCAGAGGGAAUCCCACACAAUCAGAGCGCGAUGGAGAAGGGGGCAGCAAACACGGGCCUG
rnacentral:lncRNA from 1 species